rnacentral:tRNA from 1 species
GCCUCUGUAACUCAGCUGGUUAGAGCGCUGCACCGGAAUCGCAGGGCCGUAGGUUCAAUUCCUACCAGAGGAC